UACGUAGGUGGCGAGCGUUGUCCGGAUUUACUGGGCGUAAAGGGCGUGCAGGCGGUUUGUUAAGUGCAGGGUGAAAGCUCCCGGCUCAACUGGGAGAGGUCCUUGCAUACUGGCGAACUCGAGGGAGGCAGAGGAAAGUGGAAUUCCCGGUGUAGCGGUGAAAUGCGCAGAUAUCAGGAGGAACACCGAUUGCGAAGGCAGCUCGCUGGGACGUCACUGACGCUGAGACGCGAAAGCGUGGGGAGCAAACAGG
rnacentral:rRNA from 1 species